CCAUCAGCUGAUGUACCUAUGUUCAUUGUAGGAGUAAAUGAAAAGACUUACAAGCCUAGUAUGAACAUUGUUUCUAAUGCUAGUAGCUGUACCACCAAUUGUCUUGCUCCUCUUGCCAAGGUUGUCCAUGAGGGAGUUCGGUAUUCUUGAAGGUCUUAUGAAACUGUGCAUGCAACUACAGCAAUACAGAAGACUGUAGAUGGGCCCUUGAUGAAGGACCGGUGUAGA